rnacentral:rRNA from 1 species
GAUGAACGCUGGCGGCGUGCCUAAUACAUGCAAGUAGAACGCUGAAGGAGGAGCUUGCUUCUCUGGAUGAGUUGCGAACGGGUGAGUAACGCGUAGGUAACCUGCCUGGUAGCGGGGGAUAACUAUUGGAAACGAUAGCUAAUACCGCAUAAUAGUAGAUGUUGCAUGACAUUAGCUUAAAAGGUGCAAUUGCAUCACUACCAGAUGGACCUGCGUUGUAUUAGCUAGUUGGUGGGGUAACGGCUCACCAAGGCGACGAUACAUAGCCGACCUGAGAGGGUGAUCGGCCACACUGGGACUGAGACACGGCCCAGACUCCUACGGGAGGCAGCAGUAGGGAAUCUUCGGCAAUAGACGGAAGUCUGACCGAGCAACGCCGCGUGAGUGAAGAAGGUUUUCGGAUCGUAAAGCUCUGUUGUAAGAGAAGAACGAGUGUGAGAGUGGAAAGUUCACACUGUGACGGUAUCUUACCAGAAAGGGACGGCUAACUACGUG